UUCACCCAAAUCGUAGAGAAAUCACCAAAUCACCAAAUCACCUUCUUCCUUAGACUCAAUUUCCACCAAAUCACCAAAUCUCUUCAAUUUCCCUUACCAUCGUCGCCGACCCAGCCUUCUCCACCAAAUCUCUUCGAUUUCCCUUACCCUCGUAGUCGCCCCAGCCUUCUUCGGCCGUCGUCGGCUCGCCCCGCCCCGUCUCCUUGGAUUGACAGCCCGCCGCCCUCACCUAGCCUUUCUUGGACGACUCCGUCUGACAACUCCGCAGCAGCAGCAGCAGUUUCCAACGCCCAAGUUCCCAACGAAAGGAUUACAAGGAAGCGGCUUCGCGAUUCACUGAAACUUUUUGAGGAAGAGGAGCCAGCUUUGCGACUUCAAAGGUUGUUGAAAGAGGCCAUUUCCCAGGAAAGAUUUGAGCUACCUACCGCGAUGAGUUAAAGGAAAUUGCUCCCUAUACUCUUUUGAAGUGCUCGAGUGAUGCUACAACCUUGGGAAUUAGAGUCCAAGUAAGGAGUGUGUACAUUGCUGGUAAAAGUCAGCCAUCAAAAGGCCUUUACUUUUAUGCAUAUAGGAUCAUAAUCACCAACCUAUCCGAUCGCCCCGUGCAACUUCUUAGACGUCAUUGGAUCAUAACUGAUGCCAAUGGAAGAAGUGAGACAGUCCAGUUAAGCUUCCAGUUUCCCACCUUUUACCCCUCAGUACUUCAAUAGACUCGAUUCUGUAUCUAUUUUUGAGGUACUAUGCUUCACUUUCUCUAAUGAGCACGUCGACUGGCAGAAUGGUGAGAUGCGUCUAUCAGUAUCAGAAAUGUGUUAUGGUCCAAAAAUAUGGGAAUGUGAAGAUAGAAUGUCUUAUUUUCCCAUUGUGUAUUGUGAUGUUUAGAUAUAUAUUUGCUUCAUUAUUUGCAGGAAGGUGACUAUGAGAUGAAGCAAAUAGAUAAAGUUGGAACUCGGACGUUCAAUGUAGCUAUUGUCCUCUUUGCUCUGUCCACAUUUGGAGAUGAUAUUAGUGUAGAGAUUAUCCAACUCAUAUGCAGCUUCUAGUUGUAGAGAUUAUGAUGUUAUUUAGAUAUAUUGACACUUUGAUUAUGGAUGGAUAAAGUUAUUUGGAUGAUUAAAUAUUUAUAUAUGUUUUGGUUGUGGAAUAUGUUGUGUUUGAGGAUAUUGUAUAUUGUAUAAUUUGUAUUUAAAUUCUGCAUUUGAAAAUACAUAA